rnacentral:misc_RNA from 1 species
GGGCUCCCAACCUUGAUAUUUUGACGUGUGUCAAAGAUUCCCAUAUAUGGGCUGUCGAGCACCCCACUUAUUCUGCUCUUACAAGGCCGUUGUGUGAACUUUCUGCUCUAGUACCUCCACAAUUACUUGUCUCUCACAAGAAGCUGAAGGUUUAUUCUAUGGUUGCACAUCCUUUACAGCCACACCUUGUAGCUACUGGAACCAAUAUUGGCAUUAUUCUCUGUGAAUUUGAUCAGAAGUCUCUUCCUCCCGUAGCAGUAUUGCCAACACCAACAGAAAGUCGUGAACAUACUGCUGUCUAUGUAGUUGAAAGGGAGUUGAAGCUGUUGCAAUUUCAGUUAUCUAACACCACUGCUCCAGCACUCGGAAGUAAUGGGUCUUUGAGUGACACAGGAAGGUUCAGAGGAGAGAUUCCUGAGCAACUCCACGUCAAACAAACCAAAAAGCAUAUUACUACUCCAGCUCCACACGAUUCUUACUCGGUUCUUUCUGUCAGCAGUUCUGGGAAGUAUCUCGCAAUUGUAUGGCCUGAUAUACCUUACUUCUCUAUCUACAAAGUCAGUGAUUGGUCAAUUGUUGAUUCUGGAAGUGCAAGGCUUUUGGCUUGGGAUACUUGUCGAGAUAGGUUUGCUUUGUUGGAGUCUGCACUUACUCCUAGAAUUCCCAUCAUUCCAAAAGGUUCAUCAAGAAAAGCGAAAGAAGCUGCUGCAGCUGCAGCACAGGCAGCAGCUGCUGCUGCUUCUGCUGCUUCUGCUGCCACUGUUCAAGUUCGUAUAUUGCUGGAUGACGGGACAUCAAAUG